rnacentral:lncRNA from 1 species
GAAUCACAGUGCGGACUGUCCAGUGAUGAUGGACAUGCCCAGAACUGGCACACACAUUUAAACAGAUGAUAUUUUGGCCAUCACUGGCUGAAGCUGGAUUCUGCUCUCAGUUACGGCAGCUGAAUAUGGAAUGUUCAUUUAGAUGCCAAUGGCAUAACUUUGGUUUUGUUCCUGAGCAUUGAGCCAAUCCAUGGCCCUCAGUUCUCCCUCCUUUACAUUCAAACUAACCUUCUACUGAGCACAUACUUUCAUCUGUAUCUCUCUUUUCAUCUCUUCAGCAGAAGUAACAACUUAGAUGCAGUAAUCAAGAAGCAGAUAGAUCCAGAGAAGCAGAUCUUUAAUUAUCCUAGUGCCACACUGAGCUGUAGCUGAGAUGGAGACUCCAGCCAUUUUUGAGUCACAUCUGCAGAUCAUGUUCAUCCAUCAUACUCCUAUCAGUAGCCUGUAUCUACUUUCUAGUCCAUCACAUAAACUAGUAAUAGCAUUUGGUUUUGACCAGCUUUGAAUAACAACUCUGAGAACAAGAUGGAAAGUCACUAACCCCAAUUUGUAAAUCUGGUUCAAAACAGAGGAUGUUUCCUAUCACAACAAAGCUG